rnacentral:rRNA from 2 species
AGACCCGAAACCCGGUGAUCUAGCCAUGGGCAGGUUGAAGGUUGGGUAACACUAACUGGAGGACCGAACCGACUAAUGUUGAAAAAUUAGCGGAUGACCUGUGGCUGGGGGUGAAAGGCCAAUCAAACCGGGAGAUAGCUGGUUCUCCCCGAAAGCUAUUUAGGUAGCGCCUCGUGAAUUCAUCUCCGGGGGUAGAGCACUGUUUCGGCUAGGGGGCCAUCCCGGCUUACCAACCCGAUGCAAACUGCGAAUACCGGAGAAUGUUAUCACGGGAGACACACGGCGGGUGCUAACGUCCGUCGUGAAGAGGGAAACAACCCAGACCGCCAGCUAAGGUCCCAAAGUCAUGGUUAAGUGGGAAACGAUGUGGGAAGGCCCAGACAGCCAGGAUGUUGGCUUAGAAGCAGCCAUCAUUUAAAGAAAGCGUAAUAGCUCACUGGUCGAGUCGGCCUGCGCGGAAGAUGUAACGGGGCUAAACCAUGCACCGAAGCUGCGGCAGCGACACUGUGUGUUGUUGGGUAGGGGAGCGUUCUGUAAGCCUGCGAAGGUGGCCUGUGAGG